UAGUAGGGAGCGGACACUACACUGGUAGGUAGGGGUUAGUAGGGAGCGGACACUACACUGGUAGGGGUUAGUAGGGAGAGGACACUACACUGGUAGGGGUUAGUAGGGAGAGGACACUACACUGGUAGGGGUUAGUAGAGAGCGGACACUACACUGGUAGGGGUUAGUAGGGAGUGGACACUACACUGGUAGGGGUUAGUAGGGAGAGGACACUACACUGGUAGGGGUUAGUAGGGAGUGGACACUACACUGGUAGGGGUUAGUAGGGAGUGGACACUACACUGGUAGGGGUUAGUAGGGAGUGGACACUACACUGGUAGGGGUUAGUAGGGAGAGGACACUACACUGGUAGGUAGGGGUUAGUAGGGAGUGGACACUACACUGGUAGGGGUUAGUAGGGAGUGGACACUACACUGGUAGGGGUUAGUAGGGGGAGGACACUACACUGGUAGGAGUUAGUAGGGAGUGGACACUACACUGGUAGGGGUUAGUAGGGAGUGGACACUACACUGGUAGGGGUUAGUAGGGGGAGGACACUACACUGGUAGGGGUUAGUAGGGGGAGGACACUACACUGGUAGGGGUUAGUAGGGGGAGGACACUACACUGGUAGGGGUUAGUAGGGAGUGGACACUACACUGGUAGGGGUUAGUAGGGAGUGGACACUACACUGGUAGGGGUUAGUAGGGAGAGGACACUACACUGGUAGGGGUUAGUAGGGAGAGGACACUACACUGGUAAGGGUUAGUAGGGAGUGGACACUACACUGGUAGGGGUUAGUAGGGGGAGGACACUACACUGGUAGGGGUUAGUAGGGGGAGGACACUACACUGGUAGGGGUUAGUAGGGGGAGGACACUACACUGGUAGGGGUUAGUAGGGAGUGGACACUACACUGGUAGGGGUUAGUAGGGAGUGGACACUACACUGGUAGGGGUUAGUAGGGGGAGGACACUACACUGGUAGGGGUUAGUAGGGAGAGGACACUACACUGGUAGGGGUUAGUAGGGAGAGGACACUACACUGGUAGGGGUUAGUAGGGAGCGGACACUACACUGGUAGGGGUUAGUAGGGAGCGGACACUACACUGGUAGGGGUUAGUAGGGAGUGGACACUACACUGGUAGGGGUUAGUAGGGAGAGGACACUACACUGGUAGGGGUUAGUAGGGAGCGGACACUACACUGGUAGGGGUUAGUAGGGAGCGGACACUACACUGGUAGGGGUUAGUAGGGAGAGGACACUACACUGGUAGGGGUUAGUAGGGAGAGGACACUACACUGGUAGGGGUUAGUAGAGAGCGGACACUACACUGGUAGGGGUUAGUAGGGAGUGGACACUACACUGGUAGGGGUUAGUAGGGAGAGGACACUACACUGGUAGGGGUUAGUAGGGAGUGGACACUACACUGGUAGGUAGGGGUUAGUAGGGAGUGGACACUACACUGGUAGGGGUUAGUAGGGAGAGGACACUACACUGGUAGGGGUUAGUAGGGAGAGGACACUACACUGGUAGGGGUUAGUAGGGAGUGGACACUACACUGGUAGGGGUUAGUAGGGAGUGGACACUACACUGGUAGGGGUUAGUAGGGAGAGGACACUACACUGGUAGGGGUUAGUAGGGAGUGGACACUACACUGGUAGGGGUUAGUAGGGAGAGGACACUACACUGGUAGGGGUUAGUAGGGAGAGGACACUACACUGGUAGGGGUUAGUAGGGAGAGGACACUACACUGGUAGGGGUUAGUAGGGAGAGGACACUACACUGGUAGGGGUUAGUAGGGAGAGGACACUACACUGGUAGGGGUUAGUAGGGAGUGGACACUACACUGGUAGGGGUUAGUAGGGAGUGGACACUACACUGGUAGGGGUUAGUAGGGAGAGGACACUACACUGGUAGGAGUUAGUAGGGAGUGGACACUACACUGGUAGGGGUUAGUAGGGAGUGGACACUACACUGGUAGGGGUUAGUAGGGAGUGGACACUACACUGGUAGGGGUUAGUAGGGAGUGGACACUACACUGGUAGGGGUUAGUAGGGAGUGGACACUACACUGGUAGGAGUUAGUAGGGAGAGGACACUACACUGGUAGGGGUUAGUAGGGAGAGGACACUACACUGGUAGGGGUUAGUAGGGAGUGGACACUACACUGGUAGGGGUUAGUAGGGAGUGGACACUACACUGGUAGGGGUUAGUAGGGAGUGGACACUACACUGACUGAAUAAACAACCAGGGACACAGAGAAGGAGACCAGACAUUACUGCACACACUCCCUCCACACACA